rnacentral:rRNA from 1 species
CUUCAAACUCAUCAGUUACCCUAUGCAAACUACACGACAAUUAAAGGGAAAUAGCUGUUGGUUUUGGGUUGGGGUGACCACGGAGUAUAAAACAACCUCCGCAAUGAAAAGAAUAAAAUCCUUAUCCAAGAGUUACACCUCUAAGAAUUAAUAAAUUAACAUAUAAUGUUCCGAUACUUCGUAUUCGAUCAAUGAACCAAGUUACCCUGGGGAUAACAGCGCCAUCUACUUUGAGAGUUCAUAUCGACAAGUAGGUUUACGACCUCGAUGUUGGAUCAGGGUAUCCCAGUGGUGCAGCCGCUACUAAAGGUUCGUUUGUUCAACGAUUAAAACCCUACG